UCGGUUACAUCCGAGCAGGAAAUCGCCUCGCAACCAAAUCCACAAGGGUUCUGCGUCGAGCCUCUUAAAAUUUGUCUCCCUCGGAUAAAAAGAAAACAAUUUUAUACAACUAAAGGAAACAGUAUACGAAACAUUCAUCGUAUAACUUAAACCCAAAGUGGAAGCUCGUUUUAAAACAACCAUCAACCAUAACACGGAAAACUCCGCUAUACUUGGCCUAUCAAUCUCGACAAACGCUUUUUGGCCCUCGGCCAACUACGCUUCCCCGUAAAACCCGAACCAGAAUUCAGCAUCCUCUUUGAGGAUAAUCGUAAGACAAAAUUUCCAUGGUCUGGUCCUUUACCAACAACGUCCUUGGCUAUACGGUUGAACACAAUCUUCAUCCAAGCCAUAAUAAUUAAGCAACCACCGGUC
rnacentral:lncRNA from 1 species